AUGUCCUUCUCUCAGUAACCUUGUCAACAGUAGUUUGGUCAGCAGAAAGUAAACGGGUUGUGAACAUUGAACGUACAUUAUACGAUUCGUAGCUUGGAAAACUUAAACUUCAGGUUUUUUGGUGUUUCUUGGAGAUAUUUUCUACUUAGAAACGUCGCAGGAAUCUAAAUUUUAGACGGAGA